AAUACAAGUGUGACUGAGAUAGGUCAUUCCCAUUUUCUUUUAGUGUAUGAUAUGUUUUAGGAGUUUGGUUCUUUGUACCAAAGCUCUAACAUGCAUUAACACCUAUAGUUUUAUUUCCCGACCUCAGAUAGUUGUGAUUUCUACAUAAGUCCAAUUACGAUUGCUUAAUAUAGACCUAAAUUUGACCCUUAAAGUAUAACAUUCUAGUAAGUGAGAUUGUAAGUCUCUCAUUCUUCAUGGCAUUGUGUGGUGACUUUACCUUUUUU
rnacentral:lncRNA from 1 species